rnacentral:misc_RNA from 2 species
CUGAGUUAUCUAACUCCCAAACCAUUGUGAACUUACCACUGUUGCCUCGGCGGCAGUCCUCUGUAACAGGAGGCGGCCGCCGGUGGACUACUAAACUCUUGUUAAUUUUUGUCAAUUCUGAAUUAAAAACUUAAUAAGUUA